rnacentral:tRNA from 1 species
GCGCCUGUAGCUCAGUGGAUAGAGCGUUUGGCUCCGGACCAAAAGGCCGCGGGUUCAAUUCCUGCCAGGCGCA